AAUCCCCCUCCCACCAUCGAUUAAAAAAAAGAAGAAAAAAAACCCCUCUUUCACCCUUAUGCCGUAGAACUGCAACCACCAGAAAUCCAGACGGGCACAAAAAUUCGUAUUGCUUGAAGAUGGACAUCGGGCGGUGGCUUCUCGUCGCCUUUGCGCUCUCUUCGGCCCUUUGUGAUGCCCGCUAAAGCACGAAUUCGUCGUGAUUUUUCAGAAAGCAAGAAACGAGAGAUGAGACAAGUGUGAAGAGUUGCGAAAAGAAACUAUUAUGAUCCUUUUUGUUACUGAAAGAAGCUAUGAUGUACUUUGAUUGCACAUUUGGUGCUUAGGGAUACAAAAGAGCAAAUGAAGCAGGGCUAAUCGUCCAGCUAUUCCAGGACAGGUAUGCGCAAAUUUUGUAUUUAGUUUUUUAUGAAAUAUCUUGCUUCUUUAAUAGGAGGAAAUAUUAUCUGCUAUGAUGUGCAGGAAUUAGUUAUAACAUCAUAUUAGGCAUUGAGCUUGGAAGAGUUAUCCGACGGUAUUUUUUAGCUUCCUCGAUUAGUAUGUUGUGAAGCAGAACAAAUGAAUUUACAGUGCAUCACAUUAAACACAAGGAACGAAUGAGGUUGGGUUGUUUGAUGAAGUGAAAGAACGUUAUCGUGGAAGUCAUAUAUUUGUUGCAACUUAAUAAUUUAUGAAGUCGGAUUCUAGAAUAAAAGAAUUAUAGUGUUCUUUCAUAUUAUUUGGAAUGAAUGAUUUACUAUUGUAUUGAGUACGAUAUGUUGAAAUUAGAAUAUCCACAUUUUAUUGAUAAUAUGCUAUUUUUGCAAUUU